rnacentral:rRNA from 1 species
GAAUGCUGACAUAAGUAACGAUAAAGCGGGUGAAAAGCCCGCUCGCCGGAAGACCAAGGGUUCCUGUCCAACGUUAAUCGGGGCAGGGUGAGUCGACCCCUAAGGCGAGGCCGAAAGGCGUAGUCGAUGGGAAACGGGUUAAUAUUCCCGUACUUGGUGUUACUGCGAAGGGGGGACGGAGAAGGCUAUGUUGGCCGGGCGACGGUUGUCCCGGUUUAAGCGUGUAGGUGUGUGUUCCAGGUAAAUCCGGUUCACUUUAACACUGAGGCGUGACGACGAGGCACUACGGUGCUGAAGCAACAAAUGCCCUGCUUCCAGGAAAAGCCUCUAAGCAUCAGGUAACAUCAAAUCGUACCCCAAACCGACACAGGUGGUCAGGUAGAGAAUACCAAGGCGCUUGAGAGAACUCGGGUGAAGGAACUAGGCAAAAUGGUGCCGUAACUUCGGGAGAAGGCACGCUGACACGUAGGUGAAGUGAUUUACUCAUGGAGCUGAAGUCAGUCGAAGAUACCAGCUGGCUGCAACUGUUUAUUAAAAACACAGCACUGUGCAAACACGAAAGUGGACGUAUACGGUGUGACGCCUGCCCGGUGCCGGAAGGUUAAUUGAUGGGGUCAGCGCAAGCGAAGCUCCUGAUCGAAGCCCCGGUAAACGGCGGCCGUAACUAUAACGGUCCUAAGGUAGCGAAAUUCCUUGUCGGGUAAGUUCCGACCUGCACGAAUGGCGUAAUGAUGGCCAGGCUGUCUCCACCCGAGACUCAGUGAAAUUGAACUCGCUGUGAAGAUGCAGUGUACCCGCGGCAAGACGGAAAGACCCCGUGAACCUUUACUAUAGCUUGACACUGAACAUUGAGCCUUGAUGUGUAGGAUAGGUGGGAGGCUUUGAAGUGUGGACGCCAGUCUGCAUGGAGCCGACCUUGAAAUACCACCCUUUAAUGUUUGAUGUUCUAACGUGGACCCGUUACCCGGGUUGCGGACAGUGUCUGGUGGGUAGUUUGACUGGGGCGGUCUCCUCCUAAAGAGUAACGGAGGAGCACGAAGGUUGGCUAAUCCUGGUCGGACAUCAGGAGGUUAGUGCAAUGGCAUAAGCCAGCUUGACUGCGAGCGUGACGGCGCGAGCAGGUGCGAAAGCAGGUCAUAGUGAUCCGGUGGUUCUGAAUGGAAGGGCCAUCGCUCAACGGAUAAAAGGUACUCCGGGGAUAACAGGCUGAUACCGCCCAAGAGUUCAUAUCGACGGCGGUGUUUGGCACCUCGAUGUCGGCUCAUCACAUCCUGGGGCUGAAGUAGGUCCCAAGGGUAUGGCUGUUCGCCAUUUAAAGUGGUACGCGAGCUGGGUUUAGAACGUCGUGAGACAGUUCGGUCCCUAUCUGCCGUGGGCGCUGGAGAACUGAGGGGGGCUGCUCCUAGUACGAGAGGACCGGAGUGGACGCAUCACUGGUGUUCGGGUUGUCAUGCCAAUGGCACUGCCCGGUAGCUAAAUGCGGAAGAGAUAAGUGCUGAAAGCAUCUAAGCACGAAACUUGCCCCGAGAUGAGUUCUCCCUGAGACUUAGAGUCUCCUGAAGGAACGUUGAAGACGACGACGUUGAUAGGCCGGGUGUGUAAGCGCAGCGAUGCGUUGAGC